UCGGAGACCGGGCUUAAUAGCUUGCAGCCUAGCCUGAGCAACCGGGCGGUCGGCGGGCGCGUUUUGACACUUUCCCCCAAUCUGGCCAGGUGCGCUGUUACUCGGCGCACACUAGUCACAGCCCAGCUCCCAGUGGCGGAGGCGGCGUUAAAGCGAUCGAUGUGUUUAAGCCUCUGUACGACGUGCUGCCAAUAGGUGUGAGUUUUGCCACAAAACUUCUCUCUGGUACAGUUAUUGGAACAUUUCAUUGUAUAUAACCCGACUGAGUCUGAAGAAGAGUCUCGUCCCGAAACGUCACCGAUUCCUUCUCUCCAGAGAUGCUGCCCGUCCCGCUGAGUUACUCCAGCACUUUGUCUACCCAAGGAGUUUGCAAAGAUUGCGACAAUUAGUAAAGCAGCACACUUCCUCGACUUUGAACGUCCAGAAUACGACGUAGAUCGAUUUUCUCAAUGGGAUGAAAUUCAUCUUGUGUAACAAAUCCAAGCUGCUGGGAGGACUAAGAUCAAACUGUGAAGCCCCUACUUUUCAAGCUGGAUUGGCCAGCUGAACGAAACUCGGAGAAAGUACUCAGAGAAACAAGGAACUGCAGAUGCCGGAAUCCUGAGCAAAAUGCAAAGUGUUGGAGAAACGGAACGGAUCAGGCAGCAGCAUCUUCGGAGAGAAUGGUCCUGACCCGAAAUGCGGCCUGUCCAACUGAUAGAUACCGCCGGACCCGUUGAGUUCCUCCACAACUUUGUGUUUUGCUCAGAUAAAGUAUACAAAUCGUUAAUUUUAAAAGCGAAACUGUCAAACUGUAUAAAGCAGACAACAUUACUGAACACGGCGGUGAUCAAUAAAUCGUUGAUUUUGGGAUCAA